CCUUACGAGUAGGGCUACACACGUGCUACAAUGGCGCAUACAGAGGGCUGCAAGCUAGCGAUAGUGAGCGAAUCCCAAAAAGUGCGUCGUAGUCCGGAUUGGAGUCUGCAACUCGACUCCAUGAAGUCGGAAUCGCUAGUAAUCGUAGAUCAGAAUGCUACGGUGAAUACGUUCCCGGGCCUUGUACACACCGCCCGUCACACCAUGGGAGUGGGCUGCAAAAGAAGUGGGUAGUUUAACCUUCGGGAGGACGCUCACCACUUUGUGGUUCAUGACUGGGGUGAAGUCGUAACAAGGUAGCCCUAGGGGAACCUGGGGCUGGAUCACCUCCUUA
rnacentral:rRNA from 1 species